GGCCCAGACUCCUACGGGAGGCAGCAGUGGGGAAUAUUGCACAAUGGGCGAAAGCCUGAUGCAGCGACGCCGCGUGAGGGAUGACGGCCUUCGGGUUGUAAACCUCUUUCAGCAGGGAAGAAGCGAAAGUGACGGUACCUGCAGAAGAAGCACCGGCUAACUACGUGCCAGCAGCCGCGGUAAUACGUAGGGUGCGAGCGUUGUCCGGAAUUAUUGGGCGUAAAGAGCUUGUAGGCGGUUUGUCGCGUCUGCUGUGAAAAUCCGGGGCUCAACCCCGGACUUGCAGUGGGUACGGGCAGACUAGAGUGUGGUAGGGGAGACUGGAAUUCCUGGUGUAGCGGUGAAAUGCGCAGAUAUCAGGAGGAACACCGAUGGCGAAGGCAGGUCUCUGGGCCACUACUGACGCUGAGAAGCGAAAGCAUGGGGAGCGAACAGGAUUAGAUACCCUGGUAGUCCAUGCCGUAAACGUUGGGCGCUAGGUGUGGGACUCAUUCCACGAGUUCCGUGCCGCAGCUAACGCAUUAAGCGCCCCGCCUGGGGAGUACGGCCGCAAGGCUAAAACUCAAAGGAAUUGACGGGGGCCCGCACAAGCGGCGGAGCAUGCGGAUUAAUUCGAUGCAACGCGAAGAACCUUACCAAGGCUUGACAUAUACCGGAAACUUCCAGAGAUGGUUGCCCCCUUUGGGUCGGUAUACAGGUGGUGCAUGGUUGUCGUCAGCUCGUGUCGUGAGAUGUUGGGUUAAGUCCCGCAACGAGCGCAACCCUCGUUCUAUGUUGCCAGCACGUYAUGGUGGGGACUCAUGGAAGACUGCCGGGGUCAACUCGGAGGAAGGUGGGGAUGACGUCAAAUCAUCAUGCCCCUUAUGUCUUGGGCUUCACGCAUGCUACAAUGGCCGGUACAAUGGGCUGCGAUACUGCAAGGUGGAGCGAAUCCCAAAAAACCGGUCUCAGUUCGGAUUGGGGUCUGCAACUCGACCCCAUGAAGUCGGAGUCGCUAGUAAUCGCAGAUCAGCAACGCUGCGGUGAAUACGUUCCCGGGCCUUGUACACACCGCCCGUCAAGUCACGAAAGUCGGUAACACCCGAAGCCGGUGGCCCAACCCUUGUGGAGGGAGCCGUCGAAGGUGGGACUGGCGAUUGGGACUAAGUCGUAA
rnacentral:rRNA from 1 species